AUAGUCCAUUUUCAUCAGAUUCAAAUGCUGGUCUUUGUGAGUUCAGAGGAGGAAGAGUACUCAGAACCUGGCCUUACAGUGUUGUGGUUUCCAGUAGAGCAUGUGGGCUGGAUUCAAAUGGGG
rnacentral:snoRNA from 14 species